GUAGGGAAUAUUGGGCAAUGGAUGCAAGUCUGACCCAGCCAUCCCGCGUGCCGGAAGAAGGCCUUCGGGUUGUAAACUGCUUUUGUACGGAACGAAAAGCCUCUGGUUAAUACCCGGGGGUCAUGACGGUACCGUAAGAAUAAGCACCGGCUAACUACGUGCCAGCAGCCGCGGUAAUACGUAGGGUGCAAGCGUUAAUCGGAAUUACUGGGCGUAAAGCGUGCGCAGGCGGUUAUAUAAGACAGAUGUGAAAUCCCCGGGCUCAACCUGGGAACUGCAUUUGUGACUGUAUAGCUAGAGUACGGUAGAGGGGGAUGGAAUUCCGCGUGUAGCAGUGAAAUGCGUAGAUAUGCGGAGGAACACCGAUGGCGAAGGCAAUCCCCUGGACCUGUACUGACGCUCAUGCACGAAAGCGUGGGGAGCAAACAGGAUUAGAAACCCUUGUAGUCC
rnacentral:rRNA from 1 species